GACUUAUUUACAAUGGCUGCC
rnacentral:siRNA from 1 species